AUACGUAGGGAGCGAGCGUUGUCCGGAAUUACUGGGUGUAAAGGGAGCGUAGGCGGGAGAGCAAGUCAGAUGUGAAAUACAUGGGCUCAACCCAUGGGCUGCAUUUGAAACUGCAUUUCUUGAGUGAAGUAGAGGUAAGCGGAAUUACUGGUGUAGCGGUGAAAUGCGUAGAUAUCAGGAGGAACACCGGUGGCGAAGGCGGCUUACUGGGCUUUUGCUGACGCUGAGGCUCGAAAGCGUGGGGAGCAAACAGGAUUAGAUACCCUGGUAGUCCACGCUGUAAACGAUGAUUACUAGGUGUGGGGGGACUGACCCCUUCCGUGCCGCAGUUAACACAAUAAGUAAUCCACCUGGGGAGUACGGCCGCAAGGUUGAAACUCAAAUGAAUUGACGGGG
rnacentral:rRNA from 1 species